CCUACGGGAGGCAGCAGUGAGGAAUAUUGGUCAAUGGACGCAAGUCUGAACCAGCCAUGCAGCGUGCAGGAUGACGGCCCUAUGAGUUGUAAACUGCUUUUGUACGAGGGUAAACGCAGACACGCGUAUCUUUUUGCAAGUAUCGUAUGAAUAAGGAUCGGCUAAGUCCGUGCCAGCAGCCGCGGUAAUACGGAGGAUCCAAGCGUUAUCCGGAUUUAUUGGGUUUAAAGGGUGCGUAGGCGGUCGGGUAAGUUAGUUGUGAAAUUCCGAGGCUCAACCGCGGAAUUGCAUCUGAUACUGGUCGGCUUGAGUGUAGUUGCGGUAGGCGGAAUGUGUGGUGUAGCGGUGAAAUGCUUAGAGAUCAUGAAGAACACCGAUUGCGAAGGCAGCUUACCAAGCUACUACUGACGCUGAUGCACGAAAGCGUGGGGAUCAAACAGGAUUAGAUACCCGGGUAGUC
rnacentral:rRNA from 1 species